AACAGUAGUUACACGACCUUGUAGCUUGAGCUCCUCAGCUCUCACAAACAAGGCUGGGCUUGGCCAGUACGGGGGUGGGAGUCCUCCAGGGAAGUCCAGGUCGCUGCUGCAA
rnacentral:rRNA from 1 species